rnacentral:rRNA from 1 species
UUUAAAAAGAUUACCUGGGUAGUAUAUAGUUAUUUUCUUGAAACCCAAAGAGUUUGGCGGUAUCCCAGUCUAGUUAGAGGAGCUUGUUCAGUAAUCGAUAAUCCGCGAAAAAUCUUACGCACUUUUGUAAACAGUUUAUAUACCGUCGUUGUUAGAUAAUGCUAAAAGGCAAACAAUUAUCUUAAUAUAAUAAAAUAUAAUAUAUCAGAUCAAGGUGUAACUUAUGGGUGCGAGUAGAAUGAGCUACAAUUUGAAUUAUAAAUACGGAAGUUAAUAUUAAAUUGAUUAAUAGAAGGUGGAUUUAAUAGUAAUUGCGCUUUUUAGUAAGGAGUAAUGAUGUAAGCUCUGGGAUAUGU